rnacentral:rRNA from 1 species
CCUACGGGUGGCAGCAGUGGGGGAUAUUGCACAAUGGGGGGAACCCUGAUCCAGCGACGCCGCGUGGGUGAAGGAGUGUUUCGGCGCGUAAAGCCCUAUCGGCAGGGAAGAAGGAGGACGGUACCUGACUAAGAAGCCCCGGCUAACUACGUGCCAGCAGCCGCGGGAAUACGAAGGGGGCAAGCGUUAGCCGGAUGUACUGGGUGUAAGGGGGGCGCAGACGGCAGCGCAAGCCAGGAGUGAAAGCCCGGGGCCCAACCCCGGGACGGCUCUUGGAACUGCAGCUCUGGCGUGCAGUAGAGGCAGGCGGAAUUCCUAGUGUAGCGGUGAAAUGCGUAGAUAUUAGGAGGAACACCAGUGGCGAAGGCGGCCUGCUGGGCUUUUACUGACGCUGAGGCACGAAAGUGUGGGGAGCAAACAGGAUUAGAUACCCUUGUAGUC